rnacentral:rRNA from 1 species
AGCGUAGACGGUGUGGCAAGUCUGAUGUGAAAGGCAUGGGCUCAACCUGUGGACUGCAUUGGAAACUGUCAUACUUGAGCGCCGGAGGGGUAAGCGGAAUUCCUAGUGUAGCGGUGAAAUGCGUAGAUAUUAGGAGGAACACCAGUGGCGAAGGCGGCUUACUGGACGGUAACUGACGUUGAGGCUCGAAAGCGUGGGGAGCAAACA